rnacentral:lncRNA from 1 species
GGAAGUGUCCCUUUUGCCCUCGGUGCCUCCUCCAGCAGCUCUAUGUGAGCCAACAGCAAGAGAGGGUGCCAGCAGGCAGAAGACAUCCUCUAUAAGAGCCGGCAGAACUCAGGAGGCUGGCAGAGACUGCCCACGUGGCAGUAGAACUUGGAUGGCUUUUGGCAGAAAGAUUUAUCGUAACAAAAUGGUGUCAGGAGUGUAUAAACUGGACAUGCAGGUCCCACAAGAAAGUGACUGGUAAACUUACUAAACAAGACAAGGGUUCCUGUUAAAUGGAGAAGUGUGCCAGACACACUAUGGCCUAUGGGCUGAAGAUGGAUGCCUCAACGUUACAGAGGAACUUUGGGUGACUGUCCAGGCCUCUUACCAUGGAAACUGCAAAUGACAAAACCCAGAAAAGGAGCUGUGUGGCUGGAGUCAGGCAUGGAAUGGUGACAUUACACUGGUAAACAAAGUCUUUCCUACAGGCCAAAUUCAGAAGGCAUUUUCUCAAUUAGGAUUUCCCACUUCUCAGGUUCUUUGUCAGUCCACCAUCAAGAAAAAUAAAUCACGACCAGGCACAUAUGAAGUUGGACGAAGAACAUGGCAGCAUGCUCCUCAUGGUACUAAAUUUGCAAAAAGGGAAAUCGGGUAAUAGAGUUUGAAUGACAUCGUGAGAUAAAAUGUGUCAGAGCUAAAUUUCCUACAUGGGGAUCCAGAAAGGCUUCUGCAUGAAUACCUAAAGGAGAAGUCCAUCCUGCACUGCAUACCCAGGAUAAAUAGGAUGCCAGAAACAUGAAGUACCUCUCAUGGAAAGAUGCAUGUGUGUAACACAGACAGCUCAAGAAAUUGAUGGCUUAUUCACAGCAAGCACUGAUAGAAGAACAAGACUUUUUAAGCUCUUUGAAGUCAGAAUGAAUGCCUGAAACUACUAGAUGAGAGGCGCAGAUAUGCUGAAUUCAGGGUUUAACUUCAUACAUCGGAUUAGGUCUUUCUCUGUCACCUCUACCCUUGAUUUGUCCCCUUUACUCCAUUUCCUAUCUUUACCCUUUAUGUUAGAAGUAUGAUUUGAUUUAUGAUUGACUAAGUUCUCACAGUUGAAAAACUGCACUGAGUCACCAAAGAAACUUUGGACAACUGCACAGUCUUGUGAAUGGUAAGGAAUAUGGAUAACAAACAUGACAAAAAUUAAGUUUUCACUAUUUGAUAACCUUACUUCUAUGGGAACAAAGGAUUAAAAGUAGCAUGUUUCAUGUUAGUGGAACUGGCCAGUAGUAAUGAUGUUUGUCAAAAGAAUGUGAAUUUGAAUGUUUUGAUUUAGAAAAAAACCAAAAAGAAAAUUUAGGUAAGCUGUUUUCUCUAUACCACUUUAGACCAGAUCACACUGGAAAUGUCUGGACAUUUGUAAAUUUCACAAACAUAAAGGUUUGCCUAGUGUACAACAUAGACUUCCUACUCCAUGAAAUAGGACCCACUGUCUGCAGAGGCAAAAUUAUUAAGUCCAGCUCUGCCAUGGAUACAGAGACUUACCUCAUUACAUAAAGAAUGUGUUUUCUUUUGUUUGUUGAUGUGUCAGCUUCUUUAAAAAAUGCUUUCACCUGGUAUUGGUUUUGGUUUUCUGCAAAAUACAUUUCACAAGUAUUUUUGCCUGUUACUGAUGGUGGGAAAUAUCUGAAUACAUGAUCAUGACCAUUCAGAGUUAAGAUGUAAAAAUAUUUAAAGAAAGGAACACCUUAGACAGAUAGAAGAAUAAGUAAUUUAGACAGACCCAGUGAACCCUGUUGAUGUUUUAAUUAGAAUGAGUUUAUGACUACAUGAGUUUUGUGUAUGAAUAGGAAAUUUCUUCAAGGAACCUUCUGACAGAUGCUGCAAAU